CAGCAGCCACGGUAAUACAGAGGGUGCGAGCGUUAAUCGGAUUUACUGGGCGUAAAGCGUGCGUAGGCGGCUUUUUAAGUCGGAUGUGAAAUCCCUUAGCUUAACUUAGGAAUUGCAUUCGAUACUGGGAAGCUAGAGUAUGGGAGAGGAUGGUAGAAUUCCAGGUGUAGCGGUGAAAUGCGUAGAGAUCUGGAGGAAUACCGAUGGCGAAGGCAGCCAUUUGGCCUAAUACUGACGCUGAGGUACGAAAGCAUGGGGAGCAAACAGGAUUAGAUACCCCCGUAGUCCCUGUCUCUUAUAA
rnacentral:rRNA from 1 species